rfam:Brachypodium distachyon strain Bd21 chromosome 4, whole genome shotgun sequence.
CAGGGUAUCCUUUGACCCUCCUUAGUUCAACCAAAUGAACUAAAGUUUUAAAAUGAUACAACUUUUUGAAAAACUAGUUCAUUUGUUUGAACUAAGGAGGGUCAAUGGGUACCCUG